AUGGAGGAAGAAGGAAUCAAUAGGAGGCGUCCCUGCGAAACCAGAACAAAAGACGUCGUUCCAUACGGGCGCGAGCGCCCGUUUGGCGUGGAUUCCGAGGCAGCCACCGCCAUCUCCAUAGCCAUCUCCACCACCACCAUAGUCCUCUCCCAUCUAGUUCAUACUUAUAAUCGUGCAUCGCACAAGGCAUCCAUUAUGUCUAUUGUCUUGCCCGCAAUCUUCAUCCCUGCAGGUACCCAGCAUCAUGGAGAUCGAGCACCGGUGAGGCUAGGAUCGCUGGCUCGUGGAGGAUUGACGGUGAUAACCCUUCCUAACAACCUCAGGCUUGUGCAUGCUCCAGAUUUACCGAAUUUUUGGGGGGAUGGUGUAUUUCCAGCCGCAGAUCUCUGGAUCGACGGCGCCCGCGGCGGCAGCACACUCAGAGCAACAGUGGCACGUGCCGCCGCCCCCGCCCCCGGCCCCGCACCAUGGCCAUCGACGGCGAGGAGCCCGAAUCACCACGCCUCCCUGUCCCCCGCUACGGCCACAGCGGGCCUUCCGGAUCCGCGCCAUCGACGAGCUGGAUCCGCGCCUGCUCGCGCCGCCGCCGUCUCCCCGAUCCAAAUCGACGCCACCACCCUCUCAUCCUCAUGCGCCGAGCGCCGCCACCACCCUCUUGUUGCCGCCACCUCCUCCUUCCUCCAGCACCACCUCUCCAACCCCAGCAACGAGUUCGUGCUCAUCUCCGACCCCGCCACCGGCCUCCAUUGCUUUCACUCGAAGGAGGUCGUCGGAACCACGACGACCGGCCGGCCCGUGUGUGAGGAGACGAGUGCAACACAUGAUCCCACCGGAACAAGGCCAGAUCGCCAGCGCCUCCCCGCUCGAUCCCCUGGCCCCUCCCCUCCGGACACGCCAGCGCCCGGUCGCCGGCCCCGGCCAUGGAUCCCUACAAGGACCGGCCGACGAGCGAGGCAAACUCUGGCUACUGGACCACCAACUCCGGUGCGCCCGUCUGGAACAACAACAACGCCCUCACCGUCGGACAGUGAGGGUCAGAAGGGCAGAGCGAUUGAGCAGAUAGGGAGGCAGCCGUGCUGCGAUAAGGUGGGGCUGAAGAAGGGGCCGUGGACAGAGGAGGAGGACCAGAAGCUCGUCGUCUUCCUCCUCACCCUGUUGAUCCUGCUAUGUGCUACCUGCAAAAUUGCUGGACGCAACAUCAAUGUAGCUCUGAUCCAGAACCUGGUUCUUGGAUGCAACACGCAUUGUCCUGGACAGCCACCGCCGGCGAUCGCCCUGCUCCCGUUGUCGGCCCUAGCCUCCUUCUCUGACCCCCAUCCCCUCCCAUCCUCUUCUCCCUGUCUCUCCUCCAGCCCCUACCUGCAGGCUGCAGCAGCGGUGAGCCGGCGACAUAGGACAGGCAGCAGCAGCAACCUAGGCCAGGCAGCAGUGCCGGGGUCUAUGGUAGGUUCCACCGCUGCAAGUUCUCAAACUCUCAAGACAAAUUCAGAUAACAUGGGUUGGGAGUUCGCAACCUUGAUUUAUCCUCUAGAUUUAUCGCGAGUGAAGUGCAAGUUGUGUGGAAAAGAGAUGUUUGGAGGGAUCAAUAGGAUGAAGCAACAUAUUGCUCAGAUUAGGGGGCAAGUCACACCCUGCACGGUGGCUAACGCGGAUCAGCAAAAGAGAUCAGUAUCUAACGUUGUUGAGGUGGCUGCUGCUGUGACCGAAGAUCAGAAGAAGCCUGGAGAUGUGCACAAUAGUUUUAGUUGA
rnacentral:rRNA from 1 species